UACGGAGGGUGCGAGUGUUGCUCGGAAUUAUUGGGCGUAAAGAGCAGGUAGGUGGUCUCAUUUGUCCGGGGUGAAAGCCUUGAGCUUAACUCAAGAAGUGCCUCAGAAACGGUGAGACUAGAGUCUUGGAGAGGGUCGCGGAAUUCCCGGUGUAGCGGUGAAAUGCGUAGAGAUCGGGAGGAACACCAGAGGCGAAGGCGGCGACCUGGCCAAGUACUGACACUCAACUGCGAAAGCGUGGGGAGCAAACAGG
rnacentral:rRNA from 1 species